GCAUGCGCAGAUUCCCACGAGCGUCACUGUUGCGCCCAGCAAUAAAGCCGCCGCGUCUCCUCCGUCAAACGCCUCGGCGGUGCGGACGAGCGUCAGGAGAAAAAGGCAGAGCAUCAUGCGUAGAUUUUGGUCUUUGGGAGCCAUGUUGUUGGUCAAUUGCGACUUGCGAGGAGAGAAGCGCAACAGCAAUGACGACACGUCAGAGCUCAGAUGCUGGCCGAGACGAUGGGCGACGGGUCUCAUGACUCAUGGCUGGACAACUGAAAGAGGGGCACCGUGAAAUGACUUCAAGGCGAAGAAAGCUCAAUUCCCUAGUUCCAAUUUAGUUCACUGUCAAAUCUUAAUCGAUUUUAUGAUCAAUGGUUUUAAGACCAAACCACUUUGUUUUCUUGUUUUGUUUGUUUUUUGUCCUUUUCUUCUUUCUUUUACAAAGAUAAAUUACACAGAAGUGAUGUGCUCCUUUUUCUUCCACCGCUUCUGAAUUCACCCCUUGAGUGCAGGCCUCCAUCCGAGGAACUGAAAUCCAAAAACAUUUCAUGGGCCAGUGCCUGGGUUAUUACAUCGGGAGCUUUUUUUUGUCUCUCAAAGACUAACGUGUGGCCUUUCAAGCAAAACAUCUUACAUCUUAAUUUUCUUUGUAUAUAUAUAUAUAUA